rnacentral:rRNA from 1 species
CCCAAAAAUAAACGUCCCAGUUCGGACUGUAGUCUGCAACCCGACUACACGAAGCUGGAAUCGCUAGUAAUCGUAGGUCAGCAUACUACGGUGAAUACGUUCCCGGGCCUUGUACACACCGCCCGUCAAACCAUGAGAGUUGGCAACACCCGAAGUCGGUAGUCUAACCGCAAGGAGGACGCCGCCGAAGGUGGGGUUGAUGAUUAGGGUUAAGUCGUAACAAGGUAAC